rnacentral:tRNA from 1 species
CAAAAUAUAGCUUAAUUAAAGCAUCUCGUUUACACCGAGAAAAUAUCUGUUUAACUCAGAUUAUUUUGA